GCCAUCUGGCUUUCUUGCCUGGCACCAGACCUUAUGACUUCAUGAUGGAAUCUUCUCUCAGCAGGCAGAGGGGGAUUUGCCAGGGUAAAGAGGAGGCUGGGAGGAAGAGGCCUGCCGAGGGAGGCUUUGUCUUUUCAGCCAGAGUUUGACAAUUAGGCUUCAUCAUGUCACGAUGCGGUGCUACUGCUGACCCCAAAACACAACGCCGGAAGUGGUGCUCACUAGAGACUAUGUGUCAGAACUGUGACGCUGAAUCCGGAGCCCCAACCUCUCCUAGCCUCCUAGAGGAGGAUGACCCAGGACCCUUGUCCUCCCAACAGCAGGCCACCAGUUCAAGGGACAAGAAGCCCCUAAGCUCCCUCCACCUUUCACAUAGGGCCCAGGUGGCCUUGGAGUACCUGCCUUUCUUCUGCACCUAUGGGUGCCUCCUGGAAGAGGAGGGGUUGGUCCUGCAGCCCAAGACACCGCUCCAGGAGGACUCAGAACUGCUCAGUGGGUUCUUCCCUUACUACCGCUCUGAGGAGGAGAGUUUGCCCAGCCUGGCCCUUCCUGGCUGGUCACACAGGGGCUCCCAAGAUCUGCCCACUGAGAAGGAGGCACGGGCUGGCUGCUUCUGCAGGACAACAGUCAGGGACGAAUGCUCUACUCUAACAGGCCCCUGGACAGGCCCCUCUCAGGGCUGCUGCGGCCCUUGGAGCAAGGUGUCACUGGUUGGGAGCACAGACACUGCAGGAAGACUGUCCUGUUCAAGCCCAGCUUGACCACCUGCUAGGAGAGCGGCCUGGGGAACGUGGUUUCCUUAUAAAAGAGAGAACAGCAGCAGCAACAAUAAAGCCAUUGUGAGAAUUACA
rnacentral:lncRNA from 1 species